rnacentral:rRNA from 1 species
CGCGCAGGCGGCCAUUCAAGUCAGGCGUGAAAGCCCCGGGCUUAACCUGGGAGGUGCGUUUGGGACUGGGUGGCUAGAGAUCGGGAGAGGAGAGUGGAAUUCCCAGUGUAGAGGUGAAAUUCGUAGAUAUUGGGAAGAACACCGGUGGCGAAGGCGGCUCUCUGGACCGAUACUGACGCUGAGGCGCGAAAGCGUGGGGAGCAAACAGGAUUAGAUACCCUGGUAGUCCACGCUGUAAACGAUGUGUGCUAGACGUUGGGGAGCCUAGCUCUUCGGUGUCGCAGCUAACGCGGUAAGCACACCGCCUGGGGAGUACGGCCGCAAGGUUAAA